UGGCAAUGAUGAUACGUUAAAGACUUGUUUCAAAACAUUCGCAGUUCCCGCCUAAGAGCUUUCGCCCUGCCAGGCUUGAGAGCCAAUGCUUAUCCUUUCUGUAAGGACCCA
rnacentral:snoRNA from 16 species